rnacentral:rRNA from 1 species
CCUACGGGCGGCAGCAGUGAGGAAUAUUGGUCAAUGGACGGAAGUCUGAACCAGCCAUGCCGCGUGCAGGAAGACGGCUCUAUGAGUUGUAAACUGCUUUUUUACAAGGGUAAACCUGAAUUCGUGUAUUCUUCUGAACGUACUGUACGAAUAAGGAUCGGCUAACCCCGUGCCAGCAGCCGCGGUAAUACGGAGGAUCCAAGCGUUAUCCGGAUUUAGUGGGUUUAAAGGGAGCGUAGGCGGAUUGAUAAGUUAGAGGUGAAAUGUCCGGGCUUAACUCGGGAACUGCCUCCAAUACUGUUGAUCUAGAGAGUAGAUGCGGUAGGCGGAAUGUAUGGUGUAGCGGUGAAAUGCUUAGAGAUCAUGCAGAACACCGAUUGCGAAGGCAGCUUACCAAGCUAUAUCUGACGUUGAGGCACGAAAGCGUGGGGAGCAAACAGGAUUAGAUACCCCGGUAGUC